UACGUAGGGUGCGAGCGUUAAUCGGAAUUACUGGGCGUAAAGCGUGCGCAGGCGGUUCGUUGUGUCCGAUGUGAAAGCCCCGAGCUCAACUUGGGAAUCGCAUUGGAAACUGGCGGGCUGGAGUGUGGCAGAGGGGGGUGGAAUUCCACGUGUAGCAGUGAAAUGCGUAGAGAUGUGGAGGAACACCGAUGGCGAAGGCAGCCCCCUGGGCCAACACUGACGCUCAGGCACGAAAGCGUGGGGAGCAAACAGG
rnacentral:rRNA from 1 species